rnacentral:rRNA from 1 species
UACGUAGGGUGCAAGCGUUAAUCGGAAUUACUGGGCGUAAAGCGUGCGCAGGCGGUUUUGUAAGUUUGUCGUGAAAUCCCCGGGCUCAACCUGGGAAUGGCGAUGAAGACUGCAAGGCUAGAAUCUGGCAGAGGGGGGGUAGAAUUCCACGUGUAGCAGUGAAAUGCGUAGAGAUGUGGAGGAACACCGAUGGCGAAGGCAGCCCCCUGGGCUAGCACUGACGGCUCAGGCAC